UACGGGGGGGGCAAGCGUUGUUCGGAAUUACUGGGCGUAAAGGGCUCGUAGGCGGCCAACUAAGUCGGAUGUGAAAUCCCCAAGCUUAACUUGGGAACUGCAUCCGAUACUGGAUGGCUUGAAUCCGGGAGAGGGAUGCAGAAUUCCAGGUGUAGCGGUGAAAUGCGUAGAUAUCUGGAGGAAUACCGGUGGCGAAGGCGGCUGCCUGGACCAGCACUGACACUGAGGCACGAAAGCGUGGGGAGCAAACAGG
rnacentral:rRNA from 1 species